rnacentral:rRNA from 1 species
GCUGUACUGCAAGUCGAACGCGCAGCGAAAGGUGCUUGCACCUUUCAAGCGAGUGGCGAACGGGUGAGUAACACGUGGAUAACCUGCCUCAAGGCUGGGGAUAACAUUUGGAAACAGAUGCUAAUACCGAAUAAAACUUAGUAUCGCAUGAUACAAAGUUGAAAGGCGCUACGGCGUCACCUAGAGAUGGGUCCGCGGUGCAUUAGUUAGUUGGUGGGGUAAAGGCCUACCAAGACAAUGAUGCAUAGCCGAGUUGAGAGACUGAUCGGCCACAUUGGGACUGAGACACGGCCCAAACUCCUACGGGAGGCUGCAGUAGGGAAUCUUCCACAAUGGGCGAAAGCCUGAUGGAGCAACGCCGCGUGUGUGAUGAAGGCUUUAGGGUCGUAAAGCACUGUUGUAUGGGAAGAAAUGCUAGAAUAGGGAAUGAUUCUAGUUCGACGGUACCAUACCAGAAAGGGACGGCUAAAUACGUGCCAGCAGCCGCGGUAAUACGUAUGUCCCGAGCGUUAUCCGGAUUUAUUGGGCGUAAAGCGAGCGCAGACGGUUGAUUAAGUCUGAUGUGAAAGCCCGGAGCUCAACUCCGGAAUGGCAUUGGAAACUGGUUAACUUGAGUGUUGUAGAGGUAAGUGGAACUCCAUGUGUAGCGGUGGAAUGCGUAGAUAUAUGGAAGAACACCAGUGGCGAAGGCGGCUUACUGGACAACAACUGACGUUGAGGCUCGAAAGUGUGGGUAGCAAACAGGAUUAGAUACCCUGGUAGUCCACACCGUAAACGAUGAAUACUAGGUGUUAGGAGGUUUCCGCCUCUUAGUGCCGAAGCUAACGCAUUAAGUAUUCCGCCUGGGGAGUACGACCGCAAGGUUGAAACUCAAAGGAAUUGACGGGGACCCGCACAAGCGGUGGAGCAUGUGGUUUAAUUCGAAGCAACGCGAAGAACCUUACCAGGUCUUGACAUCCUUUGAAGCUUCUAGAGAUAGAAGUGUUCUCUUCGGAGACAAAGUGACAGGUGGUGCAUGGUCGUCGUCAGCUCGUGUCGUGAGAUGUUGGGUUAAGUCCCGCAACGAGCGCAACCCUUAUUGUUAGUUGCCAGCAUUCAGUUGGGCCUC